UUUUUUUUUUUACAAGGUGUCCGGGCUUGCGUCCGACUAGAUCCUUGUCCCUGAACCUCCGGCCCCUCAGCUGCUCAGGGAGGUAAAUCGCAGGAUGUGCCCUUGUUGGUUCCCAGGUUCCCACAACUCAUUUGGACUCCUUCCGCAAAGAGAGCUCUCCUCACUAGGCGUUUGUUCACACCAAUGACUUCCUCUCCAUAUGGCUCCCAGUGUUAACUCCAAGAAUCGAACUC
rnacentral:lncRNA from 1 species